UCUCCGUAGGUGAACCUGCGGAGGGAUCAUUACUGAGUGAGGGUCUCCGGGCCCGACCUCCAACCCUUUUGUGAACCACCUCGUUGCUUCGGGGGCGACCCUGCCGUUCGCGGCGUGGGGCCCCCGGUGGCCAAUUAUUAAACUCUGCAUCUCUUGCGUCGGAGUCUUAAAGAAAUUUAAACAAAACAUUCAACAACGGAUCUCUUGGUUCUGGCAUCGAUGAAGAACGCAGC
rnacentral:misc_RNA from 1 species